CCGCGGGAUUAGAGUUUGAUCCUGGCUCAGGACGAACGCUGGCGGCGUGCUUAACACAUGCAAGUCGAACGGUGAAGGGACUGGUUUUUGCUGGUUCUGGAUGAGUGGCGAACGGGUGAGUAACACGUGAGUAACCUGCCCCCUUCUUCUGGAUAACCGCAUGAAAGUGUGGCUAAUACGGGAUAUUCUGCGCCUGCUGCAUGGUGGGUGUGGGAAAGAUAUUGUUUCGGUGGGGGAUGGGCUCGCGGCCUAUCAGCUUGUUGGUGGGGUGAUGGCCUACCAAGGCGGUGACGGGUAGCCGGCCUGAGAGGGUGGACGGUCACACUGGGACUGAGACACGGCCCAGACUCCUACGGGAGGCAGCAGUGGGGAAUAUUGCACAAUGGGCGCAAGCCUGAUGCAGCGACGCCGCGUGAGGGAUGGAGGCCUUCGGGUUGUAAACCUCUUUCGCCAGUGAAGCAGGCCUGUCCCUUGUGGGUGGGUUGACGGUAGCUGGAUAAGAAGCGCCGGCUAACUACGUGCCAGCAGCCGCGGUAAUACGUAGGGCGCGAGCGUUGUCCGGAAUUAUUGGGCGUAAAGAGCUCGUAGGCGGCUGGUCGCGUCUGUCGUGAAAUCCUCUGGCUUAACUGGGGGCUUGCGGUGGGUACGGGCCGGCUUGAGUGCGGUAGGGGAGACUGGAACUCCUGGUGUAGCGGUGGAAUGCGCAGAUAUCAGGAAGAACACCGGUGGCGAAGGCGGGUCUCUGGGCCGUUACUGACGCUGAGGAGCGAAAGCGUGUGGAGCGAACAGGAUUAGAUACCCUGGUAGUCCACGCCGUAAACGUUGGGCACUAAGUGUGGGGGGCCUUUUCCGGGUCUU
rnacentral:rRNA from 1 species